GAUGAACUGGUUUCCACGUCAUGUAUUUGCUCUUAUAAACAUACAGGAGGAGAAAUCUGUCAAAACUCAAAUGAAGGAAGUAACCAAAGUCAGCAAUGAGCGUGAGGAUGGGGAGGCAGAUGUGCUGCAACAUGAUGGAACCUAUUUGAUACAAACGUUUGUUACCAACAAUAUUGAGUCUCUAGAUACUAAUCAGUUGGCUCCUAGUUCCAAUGGCUCUUUGACCUUGGGAGCAUCUGUACCUAAUGAACACACUGAAUCAGAUGCAGUACCAUCUUCUUUUGUGGCAGAUUCGAAUAACAUUUAUCUGCAGGAAAAUAUACAGACGACU
rnacentral:misc_RNA from 1 species